UUUUAUGGAGAGUUUGAUCCUGGCUCAGAGUGAACGCUGGCGGCGUGCCUAAUACAUGCAAGUCGAACGAUGAAGCUUCUAGCUUGCUAGAAUGCUGAUUAGUGGCGCACGGGUGAGUAACGCAUAGGUCAUGUGCCUCUUAGUUUGGGAUAGCCAUUGGAAACGAUGAUUAAUACCAGAUACUCCCUACGGGGGAAAGAUUUAUCGCUAAGAGAUCAGCCUAUGUCCUAUCAGCUUGUUGGUAAGGUAAUGGCUUACCAAGGCUAUGACGGGUAUCCGGCCUGAGAGGGUGAACGGACACACUGGAACUGAGACACGGUCCAGACUCCUACGGGAGGCAGCAGUAGGGAAUAUUGCUCAAUGGGGGAAACCCUGAAGCAGCAACGCCGCGUGGAGGAUGAAGGUUUUAGGAUUGUAAACUCCUUUUGUUAGAGAAGAUAAUGACGGUAUCUAACGAAUAAGCACCGGCUAACUCCGUGCCAGCAGCCGCGGUAAUACGGAGGGUGCAAGCGUUACUCGGAAUCACUGGGCGUAAAGAGCGCGUAGGCGGGAUAGUCAGUCAGGUGUGAAAUCCUAUGGCUUAACCAUAGAACUGCAUUUGAAACUACUAUUCUAGAGUGUGGGAGAGGUAGGUGGAAUUCUUGGUGUAGGGGUAAAAUCCGUAGAGAUCAAGAGGAAUACUCAUUGCGAAGGCGACCUGCUGGAACAUUACUGACGCUGAUUGCGCGAAAGCGUGGGGAGCAAACAGGAUUAGAUACCCUGGUAGUCCACGCCCUAAACGAUGGAUGCUAGUUGUUGGAGGGCUUAGUUUCUCCAGUAAUGCAGCUAACGCAUUAAGCAUCCCGCCUGGGGAGUACGGUCGCAAGAUUAAAACUCAAAGGAAUAGACGGGGACCCGCACAAGCGGUGGAGCAUGUGGUUUAAUUCGAAGAUACACGAAGAACCUUACCUAGGCUUGACAUUGAGAGAAUCCGCUAGAAAUAGUGGAGUGUCUAGCUUGCUAGACCUUGAAAACAGGUGCUGCACGGCUGUCGUCAGCUCGUGUCGUGAGAUGUUGGGUUAAGUCCCGCAACGAGCGCAACCCCCUUUCUUAGUUGCUAACAGGUUAUGCUGAGAACUCUAAGGAUACUGCCUCCGUAAGGAGGAGGAAGGUGGGGACGACGUCAAGUCAUCAUGGCCCUUACGCCUAGGGCUACACACGUGCUACAAUGGGGUGCACAAAGAGAAGCAAUACUGCGAAGUGGAGCCAAUCUUCAAAACACCUCUCAGUUCGGAUUGUAGGCUGCAACUCGCCUGCAUGAAGCUGGAAUCGCUAGUAAUCGCAAAUCAGCCAUGUUGCGGUGAAUACGUUCCCGGGUCUUGUACUCACCGCCCGUCACACCAUGGGAGUUGUGUUUGCCUUAAGUCAGGAUGCUAAAUUGGCUACUGCCCACGGCACACACAGCGACUGGGGUGAAGUCGUAACAAGGUAACCGUAGGUGAACCUGCGGUUGGAUCACCUCCUUUCUAGA
rnacentral:rRNA from 1 species